CUACUCAUCACCUAGGGAACUUGUUAAAUGCAGAUUCUAACUCAGAAGGUCAUAGAAGGGGCCUGAGAGCCUGUACUUCCAACAAGCUCCCAGGUGAUGCCGAU
rnacentral:pre_miRNA from 1 species